rnacentral:rRNA from 1 species
GAUGAACGCUGGCGGCGUGCCUAAUACAUGCAAGUCGAGCGAACGGACGAGAAGCUUGCUUCUCUGAUGUUAGCGGCGGACGGGUGAGUAACACGUGGAUAACCUACCUAUAAGACUGGGAUAACUUCGGGAAACCGUAGCUAAUACCGGAUAAUAUUUUGAACCGCAUGGUUCAAAAGUGAAAGACGGUCUUGCUGUCACUUAUAGAUGGAUCCGCGCUGCAUUAGAUAGUUGGUAAGGUAACGGCUUACCAAGGCAACGAUGCAUAGCCGACCUGAGAGGGUGAUCGGCCACACUGGAACUGGGACACGGUCCAGACUCCUACGGGAGGCAGCAGUAGGGAAUCUUCCGCAAUGGGCGAAAGCCUGACGGAGCAACGCCGCGUGAGUGAUGAAGGUCUUCGGAGCGUAAAACUCUGUUAUUAGGGAAGAACAUAUGUGUAAGUAACUGUGCACAUCUUGACGGUACCUAAUCAGAAAGCCACGGCUAACUACGUG